rnacentral:rRNA from 1 species
UACAUGCAAGUCGAGCGAUGAGGCUCCUUCGGGAGUACAUCAGCGGCGAACGGGUGAGUAACACGUGGGUGACUUGCCCCGAAGAUGGGGAUAACCUCUGGAAACGGGGGCUAAUACCCAAUGUGCUCGGUGAUUCGGUUCAUCGAGUAAAGCUCCGGCGCUUCGGGAGAGGCCUGCGGCCCAUCAGCUAGUUGGUAGGGUAACGGCCUACCAAGGCAGAGACGGGUAGGGGGCGUGAGAGCGCGGACCCCCACACUGGCACUGAGAUACGGGCCAGACUCCUACGGGAGGCAGCAGUAAGGGAUAUUGCGCAAUGGACGAAAGUCAGACGCAGCGACGCCGCGUGGGCGAUGAAGGCCUUCGGGUUGUAAAGCCCUUUUAUGGGGGAAGAGAAAAAGGACGGUACCCCAGGAAUAAGUCCCGGCUAACUACGUGCCAGCAGCCGCGGUAAAACGUAGGGGACAAGCGUUAUCCGGAUUCACUGGGCGUAAAGAGCGUUGAGGCGGUUCCGUAAGUUGGGCGUGAAAGCUCCGGGCUUAACUCGGAGAUGUCGUUCAAUACUGCGGGGCUUGAGGACAGCAGAGGAAGGUGGAAUUCCCGGUGUAGUGGUGAAAUGCGUAGAUAUCGGGAGGAACACCCGUGGCGAAGGCGGCCUUCUGGGCUGUUCCUGACGCUGAAGGCGAAAGCUAGGGGAGCGAACGGGAUUAGAUACCCCGGUAGUCCUAGCUGUAAACGAUGGAUGCUGGGUGUGGGGGGUGUAAAUUCCCUCUGUGCCGAAGCAAACGCGUUUAAGCAUCCCGCCUGGGGACUACGGCCGCAAGGCUAAAACUCAAACGAAUUGACGGGGGCCCGCACAAGCAGCGGAGCGUGUGGUUUUAAUUCGAUGCUACACGAAGAACCUUACCUGGGUUUGACAUGCACGUGGUAGGGAACCGAAAGGGGACCGACCUUCGGGAGCGUGCACAGGUGCUGCAUGGCUGUCGUCAGCUCGUGCCGUGAGGUGUCGGGUUAAGUCCCGUAACGAGCGCAACCCUUGCCCUUAGUUACAAGUGUCUAAGGGGACUGCCCGGGACAACUGGGAGGAAGGUGGGGAUGACGUCAAGUCAGCAUGGCCUUUAUAUCCAGGGCUACACACACGCUACAAUG